rnacentral:ncRNA from 1 species
AUAAUUUAAGCGCCUGAACCGAUUUAUUCGGCUGACGAGGACGGGGCUAAUCGAAAAUUCGGCGGAUACCCCGCGCUUUGCACGAGCGUGAGCAACUUUUUAAAACCGCGGAGCAAUCGGCGGCACAAAGAAUUUU